rnacentral:rRNA from 1 species
UACGUAGGCAGCAAGCGUUGUUCGGAGUUACUGGGCGUAAAGGGUGCGUAGGCGGCUUUUUAAGUUUGGUGUGAAAUCUCCUGGCUCAACCGGGAGGGUGCGCCGAAUACUGAGAAGCUAGAGUAUGGGAGAGGAAAGUGGAAUUCCUGGUGUAGCGGUGAAAUGCGUAGAUAUCAGGAGGAACACCUGUGGUGUAGACGGCUUUCUGGACCAUAACUGACGCUGAUGCACGAAAGCGUGGGUAGCAAACAGG